AUGAAUUUCUUACCCAGGAAAAUAUCUGGAUUUGGUGCAUGGUCGCCGCCGCCGCCGCCGCCGCCGCCAUUGCAGCCUACCUGCCGGCCAGCGUGUGAAGGAGUUGAGGGUCGCCGCCGCUGCCGCCGCCGCCGCCAUUGCAGCCUACCUGCAGGCCAGCGUGUGAAGGAGUUGAGGGUCGCCGCCGCCGCCGCUCUGGGGAGAAAGUCAAGCAAAGCCAAGGAGUUCAAGAAGCAGAAGCAAUUGGAGGAGCGAGCAGCCAUGGAUGCUGUGGAUGCUGCCAACAGGCUCGGAGACGCUCUGGAGGCUUUCCCAGUGUUCAAGAAACACGAUAGAAACGGGUUAAAUGUCUCCAUUGAAUGUAAGCGAGUGUCUGGACUGGAGCCAGCCACUGUGGAUUGGGCCUUCGGCCUGACCAAAACGAAUAUGCAAACCGUCUCUGAAGUGCAGUUGGAAAGCAGGGUGCGGCGGAAAGGCCUCGGGAAGUUCCUCAUACAGAUCCUGCAGCUCACGGCUAACAGCACACAGAUGAAGAAGGUUAUGCUAACAGCAUUCGAAUACAAUCAUGGCGCCUACCAGUUCUUCAGAGAAGCGUUGCCAUUUGAAAUUGAGACUCCUCCCCCAGCAUGUCCGGUUGCUGUGGGGAGGAUUGCUCCUAUGAGAGCCUGAGCCAGAGGACCAAGUUUGGGGACAGCCAGCACUCCCACGCGGGUGGGCACUGUGGUGGCUGCUGCCACUGAACUCUCAGCGCCACUUUCAAGUCACAGUGCUCUCUCCUAAGGCCUUUCCUCUUUCCUGGUCUCACCGUUUGUCAGGAGUCCUCAGAAUUGUGGCCUCCCCAGCCCUGCACGUGCCAGGCUGCACCCUGAGAGCACAGAACCCUGGGGAGAAGUGGUAUGAGCUGCUCCUCCUCUCCUAGGAGACCAGAGUGCUAGGAGGGAAAGAAAGAGGGAGGGAAGAGUGGGUGGGGCCUGGCAGUGAAGCUCAUCCUCCACAGUGGCUGCCUCUUCACUUGGCUCCUGGGGCCUGCAGUGGAGGUUCUCCCACGUCUGCAGCUCCUAGAGUCCUGGCAACCUCCCCUCUCCUGACACAUACACUUGGACAAAUGGAACGUUUAUGCCCACCUUUAUGAAAGUUCUGGAGUCCUGGGUCUGGGGUUUGCUGAUCCCCAAAGAAGAACACACUGGGUGUAAG